GUGGGGAAUUUUGGACAAUGGGCGCAAGCCUGAUCCAGCAAUGCCGCGUGCAGGAUGAAGGCCUUCGGGUUGUAAACUGCUUUUGUACGGAACGAAAAGACUCUUUCUAAUAAAGAGGGUCCAUGACGGUACCGUAAGAAUAAGCACCGGCUAACUACGUGCCAGCAGCCGCGGUAAUACGUAGGGUGCGAGCGUUAAUCGGAAUUACUGGGCGUAAAGCGUGCGCAGGCGGUUUUGUAAGACAGGCGUGAAAUCCCCGGGCUCAACCUGGGAAUUGCGCUUGUGACUGCAAGGCUGGAGUGCGGCAGAGGGGGAUGGAAUUCCGCGUGUAGCAGUGAAAUGCGUAGAUAUGCGGAGGAACACCGAUGGCGAAGGCAAUCCCCUGGGCCUGCACUGACGCUCAUGCACGAAAGCGUGGGGAGCAAACAGGAUUAGAAACCCGUGUAGUCC
rnacentral:rRNA from 1 species